rnacentral:rRNA from 1 species
GAUUCCCCUAGUAACUGCGAGUGAAGAGGGAAAAGCUCAAAUUUAAAAUCUGGCAGCCUCGCUGUCCGAGUUGUAAUUUAGAGAAGUGUUACCCGCGCUGGACCGUGUAUAAGUCUCCUGGAAUGGAGCGUCAUAGAGGGUGAGAAUCCCGUCUUUGACACGGACUACCAGGGCAUUGUGGUGCGCUCUCGAAGAGUCGAGUUGUUUGGGAAUGCAGCUCUAAAUGGGUGGUAAAUUCCAUCUAAAGCUAAAUAUUGGCGAGAGACCGAUAGCGAACAAGUACCGUGAGGGAAAGAUGAAAAGAACUUUGGAAAGAGAGUUAAACAGUACGUGAAAUUGCUGAAAGGGAAACGCUUGAAGUCAGUCGCGUUGGCCGGGGAUCAGCCUUGCUUUUGUGAGGUGUACUUCCUGGUUGACGGGUCAGCAUCAGUUUCGACCACUGGAAAAAGGCUUAGGGAAUGUGGCACCUCCGGGUGUGUUAUAGCCCUUUGUCGUAUACAGUGGUUGGGACUGAGGAACUCAGCACGCCGCAAGGCCGGGUUUCGACCACGUUCGUGCUUAGGAUGCUGGCAAAAUGGCUUUAAGCGACCCGUU